rnacentral:rRNA from 1 species
UUAAGCGACUAAGCGUACACGGUGGAUGCCCUGGCAGUCAGAGGCGAUGAAGGACGUGCUAAUCUGCGAAAAGCGUCGGUAAGGUGAUAUGAACCGUUAUAACCGGCGAUGUCCGAAUGGGGAAACCCAGUGCAAUUCGUUGCACUAUCGUUAACUGAAUACAUAGGUUAACGAGGCGAACCGGGGGAACUGAAACAUCUAAGUACCCCGAGGAAAAGAAAUCAACCGAGAUUCCCCCAGUAGCGGCGAGCGAACGGGGAGCAGCCCAGAGUCUGAAUCAGCUUGUGUGUUAGUGGAACGGUCUGGAAAGUCCGACGGUACAGGGUGAUAGUCCCGUACACCAAAAUGCACAGGCUGUGAACUCGAAGAGUAGGGCGGGACACGUGGUAUCCUGUCUGAAUAUGGGGGGACCAUCCUCCAAGGCUAAAUACUCCUGACUGACCGAUAGUGAACCAGUACCGUGAGGGAAAGGCGAAAAGAACCCCGGCGAGGGGAGUGAAAAAGAACCUGAAACCGUGUACGUACAAGCAGUGGGAGCACCUUCGGGUGUGACUGCGUACCUUUUGUAUAAUGGGUCAGCGACUUAUAUUCUGUAGCAAGGUUAACCGUAUAGGGGAGCCGCAGGGAAACCGAGUCUUAACUGGGCGUUAAGUUGCAGGGUAUAGACCCGAAACCCGGUGAUCUAGCCAUGGGCAGGUUGAAGGUUGGGUAACACUAACUGGAGGACCGAACCGACUAAUGUUGAAAAAUUAGCGGAUGACUUGUGGCUGGGGGUGAAAGGCCAAUCAAACCGGGAGAUAGCUGGUUCUCCCCGAAAGCUAUUUAGGUAGCGCCUCGUGAACUCAUCUUCGGGGGUAGAGCACUGUUUCGGCUAGGGGGGUCAUCCCGACUUACCAACCCGAUGCAAACUACGAAUACCGAAGAAUGUUAUCACGGGAGACACACGGCGGGUGCUAACGUCCGUCGUGAAGAGGGAAACAACCCAGACCGCCAGCUAAGGUCCCAAAGUCAUGGUUAAGUGGGAAACGAUGUGGGAAGGCACAGACAGCCAGGAUGUUGGCUUAGAAGCAGCCAUCAUUUAAAGAAAGCGUAAUAGCUCACUGGUCGAGUCGGCCUGCGCGGAAGAUGUAACGGGGCUAAACCAUGCACCGAAGCUGCGGCAGCGACACUAUGUGUUGUUGGGUAGGGGAGCGUUCUGUAAGCCUGCGAAGGUGUGCUGUGAGGCAUGCUGGAGGUAUCAGAAGUGCGAAUGCUGACAUAAGUAACGAUAAAGCGGGUGAAAAGCCCGCUCGCCGGAAGACCAAGGGUUCCUGUCCAACGUUAAUCGGGGCAGGGUGAGUCGACCCCUAAGGCGAGGCCGAAAGGCGUAGUCGAUGGGAAACAGGUUAAUAUUCCUGUACUUGGUGUUACUGCGAAGGGGGGACGGAGAAGGCUAUGUUAGCCGGGCGACGGUUGUCCCGGUUUAAGCAUGUAGGCUGGUUGUCCAGGCAAAUCCGGAUAAUCAAGGCUGAGGUGUGAUGACGAGGCACUACGGUGCUGAAGUAACAAAUGCCCUGCUUCCAGGAAAAGCCUCUAAGCAUCAGGUAACAUCAAAUCGUACCCCAAACCGACACAGGUGGUCAGGUAGAGAAUACCAAGGCGCUUGAGAGAACUCGGGUGAAGGAACUAGGCAAAAUGGUGCCGUAACUUCGGGAGAAGGCACGCUGGUGUGUAGGUGAAGCCCCUGCGGGUGGAGCUGAGACCAGUCGAAGAUACCAGCUGGCUGCAACUGUUUAUUAAAAACACAGCACUGUGCAAACACGAAAGUGGACGUAUACGGUGUGACGCCUGCCCGGUGCCGGAAGGUUAAUUGAUGGGGUUAUCCGUAAGGAGAAGCUCUUGAUCGAAGCCCCGGUAAACGGCGGCCGUAACUAUAACGGUCCUAAGGUAGCGAAAUUCCUUGUCGGGUAAGUUCCGACCUGCACGAAUGGCGUAAUGAUGGCCAGGCUGUCUCCACCCGAGACUCAGUGAAAUUGAACUCGCUGUGAAGAUGCAGUGUACCCGCGGCAAGACGGAAAGACCCCGUGAACCUUUACUAUAGCUUGACACUGAACAUUGAGCCUUGAUGUGUAGGAUAGGUGGGAGGCUUUGAAGCGUGGACGCCAGUCUGCGUGGAGCCAACCUUGAAAUACCACCCUUUAAUGUUUGAUGUUCUAACGUUGGCCCCUUACCGGGGUUGCGGACAGUGUCUGGUGGGUAGUUUGACUGGGGCGGUCUCCUCCCAAAGCGUAACGGAGGAGCACGAAGGUUAGCUAAUCCUGGUCGGACAUCAGGAGGUUAGUGCAAUGGCAUAAGCUAGCUUGACUGCGAGCGUGACGGCGCGAGCAGGUGCGAAAGCAGGUCAUAGUGAUCCGGUGGUUCUGAAUGGAAGGGCCAUCGCUCAACGGAUAAAAGGUACUCCGGGGAUAACAGGCUGAUACCGCCCAAGAGUUCAUAUCGACGGCGGUGUUUGGCACCUCGAUGUCGGCUCAUCACAUCCUGGGGCUGAAGUAGGUCCCAAGGGUAUGGCUGUUCGCCAUUUAAAGUGGUACGCGAGCUGGGUUUAGAACGUCGUGAGACAGUUCGGUCCCUAUCUGCCGUGGGCGCUGGAGAAUUGAGGGGGGCUGCUCCUAGUACGAGAGGACCGGAGUGGACGCAUCACUGGUGUUCGGGUUGUCAUGCCAAUGGCACUGCCCGGUAGCUAAAUGCGGAAGAGAUAAGUGCUGAAAGCAUCUAAGCACGAAACUUGCCCCGAGAUGAGUUCUCCCUGAGACUUUAAGUCUCCUGAAGGAACGUUGAAGACGACGACGUUGAUAGGCCGGGUGUGUAAGCGCAGCGAUGCGUUGAGCUAACCGGUACUAAUGAACCGUGAGGCUUAACCU